rnacentral:rRNA from 1 species
UAAGACUCAUACGGGAGGCAGCAGUGGGGAAUAUUGCGCAAUGGGCGGAAGCCUGACGCAGCGACGCCGCGUGGGGGAUGACGGCCUUCGGGUUGUAAACCUCUUUCAGCAGGGACGAAGUUGACGUGUACCUGCAGAAGAAGCGCCGGCUAACUACGUGCCAGCAGCCGCGGUAAUACGUAGGGCGCAAGCGUUGUCCGGAAUUAUUGGGCGUAAAGAGCUCGUAGGUGGCUGGUCGCGUCUGCCGUGAAAGCCCGCAGCUUAACUGCGGGUCUGCGGUGGAUACGGGCCGGCUAGAGGUAGGUAGGGGCAAGUGGAAUUCCUGGUGUAGCGGUGAAAUGCGCAGAUAUCAGGAGGAACACCGGUGGCGAAGGCGGCUUGCUGGGCCUUACCUGACGCUGAGGAGCGAAAGCGUGGGGAGCGAACAGGAUUAGAUACCCUGGUAGUCCACGCUGUAAACGUUGGGCGCUAGGUGUGGGGAUCUUCCACGAUCUCCGUGCCGGAGCUAACGCAUUAAGCGCCCCGCCUGGGGAGUACGGCCGCCAGGGUAUAACUCACACGAAUUGACGGGGGCCCGCACAAACGGCGGAGCA